UGUGCUUAUGUUUGGUGUGAUGUUAAUUUUGCCUAUACCAUGUUUAUUUGUAUUGCUACGUUUAGCAGUGAGGUCACGAGUCACCUGAAGAGCAAGUUAGUACCUGGAAUCUCAAGUCCCAGGCAAGUUGUGCCCUUGAUCACUUUUAUUUACCCAAUAAUGUUCUCUAUAACCAUUUUAUCAUGCACAUGCUUAAUUUUGAUGGGACCCAAUAGGUUACCCUAGUUUGGUCAUCUUUACACCUUAUUUACCCCUGAACUUUUGGGUAGUAUUUGCUAUUGCUCUAUAUGGUUUUGGGAUUAAUAUUUCAUUAUGAUUAUGUUCCAAUUAUACUGUUGUUUUACAUAUUGUUCAUGACAAGAGCAUUAUAUUAAUUGGAACAUGGAGCUUAACUUGAGAACACGUGCCACCACAAGGGUGGAAUGGGACGCCCUUGGCUGACUAAUUAGGAAAGCUAGUGGAAGACUACCUUACCCGAAAGGGGCAAGGGCAGUAAGGGAGUAGGCGUGUAGGGAGGUUCUUGGGUUGAUUUUGCUGCGAUGGCGAUCAGACGAGGGAUUCCAACAUUGCUCUUCCUAGAAACUGUAGCAGGUUUUCGAAAGCUAGUGGAACUUUGUAAGGGCCUCGUAGUGGAUCCAUAGCCAUUCACCUUGGAAGUGUUUAAGGCCCUUGCAAACCCUGGCAACAUGGGAUACACGACUUGUGGGUACAGGGUACAACCUCUGCAGAGUGUAAAAUUGGUAUACUAGCCGUGCUCGCGGUCAUGAGCAGCUCAGGACUCUCGCAUGAUUAAUUUAUGGAACUAAAUUCAAUUUGUCAUAUGCAUUGCAUCGCGGGUGUUGUUACCAAUUUUGAUCUACUACUUAUUUGGGUUGGUAUCUACUUAUACUUAGUAAUUGCUAAUAAAAUUUUGACCAACUUUAAAAGCAAUGCUCAGCUUCAACCAUCCUCUUUGGUAAGCCUUACACUUCACAUGAGCUCCCACCUUUGGCGAGUUCAUGCACAUUAUUCCCCACAACUUGUUGAGCGAUGAACGUAUGUGAGCUCACUCUUGCUGUCUCACACCCCCACAGGUCAAGAACAUGUACCGCAGGAUGAGGCGCAUGGAGGAUGCUACGAUGUGUUCAUGAGAGGUCUAGGUCGUCGUCUCCCAGUCAACUUUGGGCUGCUGGAUCAUUGUCUUCAUAUGAUGUAAUUAUUUAUUUAUUUUGUACAGAACUC
rnacentral:lncRNA from 1 species